rnacentral:snRNA from 1 species
GGAUGUGAGGGCGAUCUGGCUGCGACAUCUGUCACCCCAUUGAUCGCCAGGGUUGAUUCGGCUGAUCUGGCUGGCUAGGCGAGUGUCCCCUUCCUCCCUCACUAUUCCAUGUGCAUCCCUCCCAAAGCUGCACUCAGUGGAAGAGGACGAUCUUCCUCAAAUAGAGGACCGGUCUUCAGUCAAGGGUAUACGAGUAGCUACGCUCCCCUGCUAGAACCUCCAAACAAGCUCUCAAGAAAAAGAGACGUGAAAUGUUUACACCCCAGUGUCUGAAAGAAGCUGAACCCCUCACUUGCAGAUCUCACGCAGCCCUCU